rnacentral:rRNA from 1 species
GAUGAACGCUGGCGGCGUGCCUAAUACAUGCAAGUCGAGCGAAUGGAUUAAGAGCUUGCUCUUAUGAGGUUAGCGGCGGACGGGUGAGUAACACGUGGGUAACCUGCCCAUAAGACUGGGAUAACUCCGGGAAACCGGGGCUAAUACCGGAUAACAUUUUGAACCGAAUGGUUCGAAAUUGAAUGGCGGCUUCAGCUGUCACUUAUGGAUGGACCCGCGUCGCAUUAGCUAGUUGGUGAGGUAACGGCUGACCAAGGCAACGAGGCGUAGCCGACCUGAGAGGGUGAUCGGCCACACUGGGACUGAGACACGGCCCAGACUCCUACGGGAGGCAGCAGUAGGGAAUCUUCCGCAAUGGACGAAAGACUGACGGAGCAACGCCGCGUGAGUGAUGAAGGCUUUCGGGUCGUAAAACUCUGCUGUUAGGGAAGAACAAGUGCUAGUUGAAUAAACUGGCACCUUGACGGCACCUAACCAGAAAGCCACGGCUAACUACGUGCCAGCCGCCGCGGUAA